rnacentral:rRNA from 1 species
GUGGGGAAUCUUGCGCAAUGGGCGAAAGCCUGACGCAGCCAUGCCGCGUGAAUGAUGAAGGUCUUAGGAUUGUAAAAUUCUUUCACCGGGGACGAUAAUGACGGUACCCGGAGAAGAAGCCCCGGCUAACUUCGUGCCAGCAGCCGCGGUAAUACGAAGGGGGCUAGCGUUGCUCGGAAUUACUGGGCGUAAAGGGCGCGUAGGCGGAUCGUUAAGUCAGGGGUGAAAUCCCAGAGCUCAACUCUGGAACUGCCCUUGAUACUGGCGAUCUUGAGUGUGAGAGAGGUAUGGGGAACUCCGAGUGUAGAGGUGAAAUUCGUAGAUAUUCGGAAGAACACCAGUGGCGAAGGCGACAUACUGGCUCAUUACUGACGCUGAGGCGCGAAAGCGUGGGGAGCAAACAGGAUUAGAAACCCCAGUAGUCC